AGCAGCCGCGGUAAUUCCAGCUCCAAUAGCGUAUAUUAAAGUUGUUGCAGUUAAAAAGCUCGUAGUUGAAUUUCGGGAUUGACGUGAUGGUCGUACCUUAAGGGGUAUGAACUGUCGCUGUUGAUUUCUCACCUUCUGGAGAAACUUGAUGUCCUUAAUUGGGUGUCUUGCGGAUCCAGGACCUUUACCUUGAAAAAAUUAGAGUGUUUAAAGCAGGCAUUUUUGCUCGAAUACAUUAGCAUGGAAUAAUAGAAUAGGACGGCAUGGUUCUAUUUUUGUUGGUUUCUA
rnacentral:rRNA from 1 species